CUCCGGGAAAGAGCACGUGUCUGGCAUGCAGAGGGUCCCUGAUUCGGUCCCUAUCUCCAGGUAGGGCUGAGAAAGACUCCCUGCCUCUGAAACCUUGGAGAGUUACUGCCAGUCAGUGUAGGGAAUACUGAGUGAGAUGGGUCGGUGGUCUGAGUUGGUAGAAAGCAGUUUGCUGUAUAUAUUGCUUAAAAUAAUAGCUUCUGUUAAUUAUUCCGUGUGUGUGUAUGUGUGCUUGUGUGUAAACUGGUUGCUUCAUGCAAUUUCAGUAUUGACCUUUUGCUCCUGGGAAGUUCAUCAGAGUUUACACUUGAUAAGACAUUCCCCGUCUUGUUUGCAGUCAUAGUGGCCCAACAACCAUGUGAUUUAUAUGGGUUUUGAGGGCCCAGCAGAAGGUAAACAAUCCUCUGUCCUGGUGAUUAACCUUUACCUUUCUCCCUGUUGCAACAUCUUUCCUUUAUCAUUUUAUUUAUUAAAUUCGUAUACCACUGCCCUUCAUCCAGAGAUCACAGAACAGUUCACAACACAAAAAUACAAAAUGAGAACACAAAAUGCACAAAACACAAAGACAAGUCAAUAACCCUGUUCCAACAAGCACAUUUCCCCCAAACCUUGAGUUUAAAACUAUCACAAUACCAGGCCUUCACACUCUAUCCGCAAGGCAAAGCAUGCCCAACAUUUUUUGCAUUCCUAAUUUGCAAAUUUAGAAAUUUCCCUGGACAGUGAGUUCUUGUUGUGUCUAGGGCAGGUAAGAGGCGGGGACCUGGUUCGUUUAGGUCAGGGCCAGGGCACCUGUGACCCUCCAGGUAUCACUUGACCACAACUGCCAUCAUCCCUGACCAUUGGGCAUGCUGGCUGGAGCUGACGGGUGUCCAACAAAAGGUUCUAUUUUCCCUGAUCUAGAAAUACCACUCACAUGCUAUGAUGUCAUUUUGCUCGCUAAGCUUUACGCACCCACGUAAGAAGCAGCCCAGUGAAAUGAAAUGGGGGAACUCAAUGACAUUACAGCCUGUAAUACCUGUUUAACUGUAUAAAUUAAAAUUGUACAGAUCAUUGUAUGAAACUGUAAUGUUCUUCAUCACAAGACAUUAUGAGUGGUGUUUUUAUGCUUAGAAUAGCAGGAUAUAAGUAAGUUAAAAAGAUCAGAUUGUGGGAUGAAUAGAGCGGGAAAUUAUCUAAUACUGAACUGAAGGCAAAACAAAAAACAAAAAACAAAAAGCACCAACAGGUCUGUGAAGUGACAGUCAACAACUCCAACUGUGGAACUUGAUUUGUACAAUCAGAUGUUAUUAUACUCCAGCAAGAAUCCUUUUGAAUUAUUGAAUUGCCACAGAUCUCUGUCCUGGAGCAAAUUAAAAAGCCCAGAAUUCCACUACCUGAGAAUCCCCAUUGAAAACAAAACUAAACAAAUUUCUAGUCUUUAUGACUGAAAAAGAUUUCUUGAACGCAGAUUGGUAGUGCCUGCUGAAAUUUCAGAAGCCAGAGAGAAUUGAUUUGGAGAGGGAGGGGGAACAAUGGCAUUAUCAAUAAACAAAAUGUUUAUAUUAAUAAUUCCGAAAACAAUUAAAAUUGACGAUAGGCUAAAAAACCAUAUUACAACACAUGCCAUGUUAAUAGUCAUGGCUUCCCACAGAGACUUCUGGGAACUGUAGUUUGUUUAAGGUGCUGAAAGUUGGGCUAUAAUUCCCAGCACCCUUGAUGAAAUAGAGUUUCCAGAAUUCCUCGGGGGUAGAGUGGUACAAAGUGGUUCAAGAGUGCUUUCUGUGUCUCCGUCCUUUCACCUACAGGCCUCCCACAUCAGCUCAGGGGACGGGGACGUCCUAUCAGGAGCAAAUGCUAAGCCUUAAGCAACUGGCACGUCACAUUGCCAAAGGAUUAUUUAUAGCCGACAUGCAGCUCUGGGGACAGAACUGGUUUGCUCAGCCCGCAGGCCUGCCAAAUAACCUUUUAACAAGUUGGAAAAGGGAAAUUGGAUCUGCUGCAGCUCAGUCUGAGAAGGUGACUUGGUGGAGGAGGCCAAGUGGGGGGCCUGUAAGAUGCCGCAGGGAACAUCAUAUCGAUGGGCGGUCUUAGAAUUCACAAAAGGCAUGUAAUGGAGAAAAGGGGAUGUGGGCGUGGGGGGGGGGGGAGAGGGGAAGAACCCCAGGAGGAUAAUUCUGCAUGUUUGCGCAUUGUCAGGAAUUGAUUAGGAACGCAGGAAGUGCGAGUCAAAUAAUUGAUCCUCCUAGCUCAGCAUUGUCAAUACGGACUGGCAGCAGCUGUCCAGGAUCUCAGACAGGAAGCCUUUUCCCUGUCCCUUCCGGGAGAUGUUUAGGAUUGAACCUGGGAACUCCUGCAUAUUCUCUUAAAGCACAGGAAUAUAGGAGGGUACUGCAUAUUGAGUUAGACCAUUGAUGCAUCUAGCACAUGACAGGGGUGGACUUUUGUAAUCUUUCGUAAUAUGACACCCUGUGCGAGGCCAAUUAUUUGGAACCCCCAAAUGGAUCUCCUUGACCCACUUUAAAGCCUGCUUCUGAUUUGGUAUUGCAGUCACGAUGGUCUGAAUGUGAGAAUCUUCUUGACAUGGUCUGGCGCACAGUAACCAGGCAACACUCAUCCUACCGUGCAGGCAAGCAGCCAGCGGACCAAAGAAGAAUGAGGACAAAUGGAUGAUGACCCAUCUCAGGCUGCUGGAGGGGAGGGGGAAACGGGAGCCAGGGCAGGCAGCAAGUGGCUCCAAGUGACCAAGAAACCAGAUCGCCUCCAGCUGCAUCUGCAGCCAAUGCACCCUGUUCAAUACAUUAUAUAUAAC